rnacentral:rRNA from 1 species
UUACGGAAGGCAGCAGUGGGGAAUAUUGCACAAUGGGGGAAACCCUGAUGCAGCGACGCCGCGUGAGUGAAGAAGUAUUUCGGUAUGUAAAGCUCUAUCAGCAGGGAAGAAAAUGACGGUACCUGACUAAGAAGCCCCGGCUAACUACGUGCCAGCAGCCGCGGUAAUACGUAGGGGGCAAGCGUUAUCCGGAUUUACUGGGUGUAAAGGGAGCGUAGGUGGUUCGGUAAGUCAGAUGUGAAAGCCCGGGGCUCAACCCCGGGACUGCAUUUGAAACUAUCGAACUAGAGUGCAGGAGAGGUAAGUGGAAUUCCUAGUGUAGCGGUGAAAUGCGUAGAUAUUAGGAGGAACACCAGUGGCGAAGGCGGCUUACUGGACUGUAACUGACACUGAGGCUCGAAAGCGUGGGGAGCAAACAGGAUUAGAUACCCUGGUAGA